GUUUAAUGUAUUUUAUAGGUGUAAUUAUUACUUUCUUUCUUUUUGAGACAUACUUUUACUGAUGUUGGUGGCUGUGUCAGGGAUCAGACUGCUGUAUCUCCUUUUCUGUCUUAUCUUGUACUCUCUAAGCACAUAUAUAUAUAUGAAUGUUUUGGAGCUAAGUGUAUAACACACACUUUAGCUUUUCUCUCAUAUUCCGUCAGUUUUCUCAACUUGGUAUCAGAGCGGGUUCGACCCGCUCUGCCUGUCAUCGUCCACCGCCGCUGUCCGCGUCUCCGGCCGCCGCUCAUCGUCUCCGGCCGCCGUCCGCCGCCGGCCAUUUUCCGGCGAACCCUAGGGGUUGGUGCGCCUUGUCAAACGCAACCCAACCCAAGUGGUCACAGAGGCAAAAGCCUCUUCACAUCUUCUCACGCGCUGCAUCUUUGGGCUGCUACACCAGGCGUGCACUGUUAACGUACCGAUCUGCAGCCACCGGAAAACGGCCACGCCACCAACAGUUCUUCGUUGACACCUUCUGGGUCUGUUUCAAAGCUCUCUUUGUUGUUUUCUGGUCUAUUUGGAGAGUGGGUCUGUUUCUCUCUUCCUUUUGGGCUUUCUUUUUCAUCUAUUUCAGCAACAUGUCCAGCUCUGGCCCUAUUUUUUCCAUUUCUGGAACUCCCACAAUAACAGCAGAGAAACUUAAUGGCAAAAACUACCUGUCUUGGUCUGCCUCUGUAGAGUUAUGGUUUCUUGGGCAGGGAUAUCAUGACCAUUUGGAGAAGGAUAUUACUGAAAUAUCCUCUGAGAGUCAAGAACUGUGGAAAAAGCUUGAUUUUCAACUGUGUGCUUUGCUGUGGCAGUCAGUAGAGCCCAACAUUUUAGGAACCUUGAGAACUUUCAAAACUUGUCAUUCCUUUUGGAAGAAAGCUCAAACUAUAUUUGCCAAUGACAUUCAACGUCUAUAUGAUUCAGCUCACAAGUUAGCAUCUCUCAAACAAACUGAUGAUGACAUGGUCUCUUUCAUUGCCCAAGCACAAUCAGCAGCUGAGGAGCUGAAAAUGUUUUUAGAAGCUGAUUCUGUGGAAGAGAUGAAAAAGAAACUUGAUAAGUUGUGUAUGGUGUUGAUUCUGCGUGCCAUGAACUCUAAUUUUAAUCAUAUUCGUGACCAGAUUUUGACAGAUCAAGAAAUCCCUUCAAUGGAGAACCUUGUAACGCGUCUUCUUCGUGUUCCAAGUUCGAAAAAUAGUGCAAGUUUGGUUGAACCUACUGAAUCUUCAGCAAUGGUUUCUACCCGAGGAAGAGGAGGUCGUGGAAACCGUGGAGGCCGUGGUGGCAGGAGUGGUCGGCCCCAGUGCUCAUAUUGUAAAAGAAUGGGUCAUACUCAAGAGACUUGCUAUUCCUUGCAUGGCUUUCCUGAAAAAACUGCCAAUGUCUCCAAAAUUGAAGACUCUAAAUCUGAUAAAAAAAUUUCUGAGGAGGAAUAUCAAGAAUAUCUUCGGUUGAAAUCCAAUAGUCAAGCUCAAUCUUCCUUUGUUCCUAAUAUUUCAACAGCAUGCAUUUCUCAAUCCACGGAGAGUCAAGGUCCAUGGAUAAUAGAUUCUGGUGCUUCUGACCAUAUGUCUGGUAAUAAUUCUUUGUUCUCUUCUAUUUCCUUACCUAAAGUUCCUCAUUUCAUUACCUUGGCUAAUGGAUCCAAAGUCGCUUCCCAAGGAGUUGGUCAAGUCUCUCUCACCCCUUCCUUGAACUUAAAAUCUGUCCUCUUUGUUCCUAAAUGUGCUUUUAAUUUAAUUUCUUUGAGUAAAUUAACCAAAUCAUUAAAUUGUUCUGUUACCUUUGAUGCUAAUUCCUUUGUUAUUCAGGAACGUGGCACGGGUCGGUUGAUUGGAGGAGGACAUGAAUCUAGAGGACUCUACUAUUUUGAAACUAGCCCCUCUGUCUCUUGUUUUGCAUCUUCGACUCCUAAACUUUUGCAUGAUCGUUUGGGUCAUCCUCACCUGACAAAAUUAAAGAAAAUGGUUCCUAGCCUUAACAAACUUCAAGCCUUAGAGUGUGAGUCUUGUCAACUAGGGAAACAUGUUAGGUCUUCAUUUCCAAAAAGAACUGAAACAAGAUGUAACUCUGCUUUUUCCAUCAUUCAUUCAGAUAUUUGGGGUCCAAGCCGUGUCACAUCUUUUGGGUUCAGAUAUUUUGUCACAUUUAUUGAUGAAUACUCUCGAUGUACUUGGAUUUAUUUAAUGAAAGAUCGAUCUGAACUUCUGUCCAUUUUCAUGUCUUUUUGCAAUGAAAUUAAGAAUCAAUUUGGGAAAAUAAUAAAAGUCCUUAGGAGUGAUAAUGCUAAAGAAUAUUUUUCUUCAGAUCUUACAUCCUUUCUAACUACAUAUGGUAUUUUACAUCAAUCUACUUGUCCUCAUACACCACAACAAAAUGGUAUAGCAGAAAGAAAAAACAGACAUUUAGUUGAAACUGCUCGUACCUUAUUACUUAGUACCAAUGUUCCCGUCCAUCAUUGGGGUGAUGCAAUUCUUACGGCUUGUUUUCUAAUAAAUAGAAUGCCAUCCUCCUCUCUUGAUAAUAAAAUUCCUUAUUCAAUUCUUUUUCCAAAUGAACCUCUAUUUCACGUUUCUCCUCGUGUUUUUGGUUGUGUCUGUUUUGUCCAUGAUUUAUCUCCAGGUUUGGACAAGCUCUCUGCUAGAGCCAUUAAGUGUGUUUUUCUGGGUUACUCUCGACUUCAAAAAGGUUAUCGUUGUUAUUCUCCAGACACCAGACGAUACUACAUGUCUGCUGAUGUCACCUUCUUCGAAGACACUUCGUUCUUUUCAUCUUCCAUGCAAGUUUUAGAUUCUAUUCAACAAGUAUUACCUGUUCCAUUUCUUGAGUCAGUGUUGACCCAGUCUCCUGAAACUACCAAUCAAAACAUAGAUCCAAAUCCUUCUCCAACUAUCAACCCACCUGAACCAUCUUCACCACCCCUCAUCACUUACCAACGAAGAAUACAAAGGGACAAUUCAACACAUCAUGGAGAGCCAUCUGUUUCAUGUUCUUCACCAUCAACUGCACCUACCACGAUUCCCAAUGAUGAAGAUUCUAGUUGGCCAAUUGCUCUUCGCAAAGGAUCUACAGCCUAUAGACAGAUUUGUGAUGGAAGAGUAUCUCCUUGAUGUGCUGCUAUUCUUAAAUGGCUGUCGAAAGGAAUGUGCUUCUUUCAUGGUUGGGCUGCCAGUUUCCUUCAGAUACGAGUACCUCAUGGCCGAGACAAUAUUCUCUCAGCUGCUGAUGCUACCCCAACCACCUUUCAAACCAGUAUAUUACACACUGGUUAUUAUUGACCUUUGUAAGGCUCUUCCUGGAGCUUUUCCUGCAGUUGUAGCUGGUGCUGUUCGUACUCUCUUUGAGAGGAUUGCUGAUUUGGAUAUGGAGUGUCGGAUGCGUCUGAUCCUUUGGUUCUCACACCAUUUAUCAAACUUCCAGUUCAUCUGGCCAUGGGA